ensembl:snRNA U6 U6 spliceosomal RNA
GUGCUGGCUUCAGCAGCACAUACACCAAAAUUGGAACGAUAGAGAGAAGAUCAGCAUAGCCCCUGCGCAAGGAUGACCCCCAGAUCCGUGAAGCAUUCCAUAUUUUA